rnacentral:rRNA from 1 species
AUGAGAGUUUGAUCCUGGCUCAGGACGAACGCUGGCGGCGUGCUUAACACAUGCAAGUCGAACGGAAAGGCCCUGCUUUUGUGGGGUGCUCGAGUGGCGAACGGGUGAGUAACACGUGAGUAACCUGCCCUUGACUUUGGGAUAACUUCAGGAAACUGGGGCUAAUACCGGAUAGGAGCUCCUGCUGCAUGGUGGGGGUUGGAAAGUUUCGGCGGUUGGGGAUGGACUCGCGGCUUAUCAGCUUGUUGGUGGGGUAGUGGCUUACCAAGGCUUUGACGGGUAGCCGGCCUGAGAGGG